rnacentral:rRNA from 1 species
UACAGAGGGUGCAAGCGUUGUUCGGAAUUAUUGGGCGUAAAGCGCGUGUAGGCGGCUUUGCAAGUCGGGUGUGAAAGCCCUCAGCUUAACUGAGGAAGUGCGCCCGAAACUGCAGAGCUUGAAUACCGGAGAGGAUGGCGGAAUUCCCCAAGUAGAGGUGAAAUUCGUAGAUAUGGGGGAGGAACACCGGUGGCGAAGGCGGCCAUCUGGACGGCUAUUGACGCUGAGACGCGAAAAGCGUGGGGGAGCAAACAGG